rnacentral:lncRNA from 1 species
CCCUCUUGUACGGUAUUUUAAGAGAAACAAAAUUUAGCAUACUGAAAUCCUCAAUGAAACCAAAUUGUUUUUCUCUGCCUUGGACUAAAUGGCUGUUACUAUGGAUACUGUUAUAGUUUGUAGCGUUAUAUUGGAUUUUAUUAAAUUAUGGAAAAUAAUUAAGUAGAAAAGCAGGAAACAAAGGCUAUGUAGUCAGAUCCUUUUUUAGCUCAAGUAGUGUCUGGCAUUGCUUUCCACCAGGACAGUGGGAUGCUUUUUUCCCUAAUGAACUUUUCAUGUCCAAGAUGAAAUGCAGAUUCUGUAGACGAUUUAUUAAGAAAAGCACCAGUUUCAUGUGAGCAGUUUUCAGACCAACAGGGAAUUUAUAUAUGGAAAUCAUAUAUGAGUAUAGGGAAACACCUCAUAAAAAGAAUGACUACAUGGUCAGCAGCUGUAAUUUAUGUGCAUUCUUUUUUAAUAAAAAAAUGUGUGUUCAGACCAAUCUUUUUCAUUUUUAUAGCAGUUCAACAUGAUAGCUUCAACUGCAGUUGUUUAACCUUCUGAGUUUCUUUGUUUUGUUUUUGAAGAAAAGGAAAACUAAAACCAGCACUUUUUGUUUCAGAUACUGAACUUAUUCUUGUGCAAAAGGUGCAAUAAGGACACCUUUCUUCGCUGAAGGAAGCUGAAGUGAGUGUUGAUGGAAAUACUGCUGAUAAAAAUGUGUAUUGAAAAUAGACAAGCGGAUGUUAAGUACAAAAAAGAAGAUACUUGGAUUUGAUGGCUGAGCAUGAAUGGCUGCAUACAGAUACAAAAGACAAGACAGAUAAGAGAAAACAAGAAGAAAAAACACUGUGAAAAAAUAACAACUUACAGUACACAAAGCAUCCUCUGCUUUCUUGAAGACAAUGUACCAUAUCAUGGUGGGGAUGAAAAAAAAAAAAAAAGCAGAUUUCUUUGGACAGCAAUCAUCCAUCAGCUUCUGUUUUUUUUCAGGAGAAAGAACGGUCCAACUAGACAAGAGAACAAAGAAAAGUGGUCCCUGGGAUAAGUGGUGAGUAAAUGGAAAAUACAUCUUGUUCUCAAAUGCUUGUACCUCAUAUCCCUUUCUGUAUAUUACUGAAGGUUUGCACAGGCAUUCGGUGGCCUCAUUAAUUUAUAUUAAUUUUUCCAGGAAAUUAUUAACUCAGCACAUGCACCUCUUUAUUUGACUUUGCAUUCAAAGAGUCUGGUUCUGUCAGAUAUUUUAAUUCACCAAAAUUAAAUCUGAUUUUCACCAAAUCCAUAAUCAGCAGAGGAAAAUGACUUGGACCAGGACCUCUGGUUCCCUGAGCUCAUACUUAUCUUCUUGUCAAGAUCUUUUUAUUCUCCAAAAAAUAAUUAAGUCCUAACAUGAGAUUGCAUUUUGCAGGGAACAGCCUACAGGCUCUAGGGUAAUUAAACCCCUGCUUGCACAUUCAAAACAAGCAGUGCUUGAAUAAAUAACAUUUGAUUCUGUUGAUAACCAAUGAGGACGUGCUAGCAUGGAAAGUUCUGGUGCCAAAAUGACUUUUGCUCUACAGAUUUGUGUUCAGGAAAGUGCUGCAGGAGAGGUGUACAUGUGAGUUUUGUUACCUAUUGAGAUACAGCUGUAAUUUUUGCAGAUUUUCUAGUCUCUUCCAGUAUGUUCUUCAUGUUGAAGGGAGAAAUGAUAUUGCCUCUGAGUACGGAUGUGAAAAACCCUCUAAAAGUACUCAGUAGCAAAGCUUAUUUUCAAACUGCAUGCACAGAAUUGAUUUAUUUAUAGAGAUUUAUAUGUGAGACAGAAUGGAAAAAAGUAAUCUAGUUUUAUUUAACAUCUCUCUCAGAAUCCUAAAAACUGCUUUCAGAUGAAUUAGGUGCCUGUAAGUAUAGUGGCUAUGCAGGAAAACAUUAACAGCCAAGCUUCAGUCAGCAGCAACCCUGCAUAUUAUAUUAUGUGUUAAGAAAGUGAAUGCUAGUUACAAACCUGGGGUUGUCUCUGUGCACUUUUCAAAACUACUAUGUGAUCAUUUAUCUACAAAACAUUAGAGCUCAGAUAAAGAGCUGAAGGCUUCAUCUGAAAGCUGGCAUUCUCAGGCAUCACCAGGUACAUCAGUGAAAUGUUUUCAUUAUACUUGUCCGAUCGCAGCGCGCUAUUCAUGUCUUCCUGAUCUGCAGAUCACUGAGACCAAACAAUAACCUGUUGAGGCAUAUUUUAAUUUUGAUCUUUGCACAAAGAGUGAUCUGUGAACAAAAUGAAGUACAAAAAUGAGGCAUUAAGCAGUGGUAUCUAUUUCCUCAUUAGCUCCUUGAAUUUUCUUAUAUCAGCAUCACAGAUUUCACAUAGAGUAUGUGAAGUCAUGAUUUUGUAUUGCGUAACAUCUGGUCUUGUGCAACACAGCCGAGCCUCCUGGAGAAGGAACACAAGAGAUGGGACAUGCAGUUUGUGCUUUGUGGUUAGAAACACUCUGCAGAACUUCCCAUCUUUGGGAUACACAUCUUGCGAAAUGCAGCACAGACACAGAGUUAGGGUGCCAUUUUGACAUGGGCUCUUGGGUGCUAAUGGCAUCUCUUCUCCAGCCCCCAAGCCUCAGGGCAAACAGGUCAUCAUUGAAAAGUAAGAGCACCUGGAACCUUUCACAAAUAAAACCUUGCAUGCAUGUCCUGGAGGAACAUUUCUGCCUGGCAGAUAUUCCUGGAAGAUUUUGGCUGGAUCUACCUUGUGUUCCAUAAGGGCCCUCCUCCAGAGGCUGGUGCAGAUGAAAUCUUUUCACCAAGCCCUCAGAGAGCUUCAGAGGGACGUUGCAUUCUCACCAUCCUCUGUGCAGGUGAGGAAGGGCACCCUGAACAACUCUUCACCAUCUGGGGAUACUGAUUUUCACUGCAAAGGCAAAAAAACAGAUUCCAGCUCCAGGGUGAUGUGAUGGGAGAGCUUGAAUGAAAAUAACUUUUUCAUACUGGGAGUAUAGGAGAAGUCUGCAUUAUUUUUUCCUACCAAGGGGCCUCUCCUCAGAGUAUAAAUCCUCAGUUCUAUCAAUUUACAAUGAGAGGAAAAAACAAGAACUUGGGGUCUUAAACUGUGUAGUGUAAUUUUGGACUGUGCUGUAACAAUCCUUUUCAAGGCACUGCUUCAGUGUGCUCUCCAGCUAAACAAAAUGAAAUGGAAGAUACCUCAUCAACUUCUGUGUUUAAUUUCAUUUGCAGAAACUCUAUGUGUAGAACCGUGCAUAGCCAUUUUUAUAGUGCUGGAUCCACUGUCAGCUGAAAGAUACUUGGAUGAAGUACUGGAAAGUAUUUUAGUAUUUUCAGCAAGAAUCACUAACAGUGAUGAGUAACUUCCUGGCUAUUAAGUGCAUCAGGCAAUGCACAUUGUUCUCAACCUGAUAAACUCUUAGCUGGGAACUUCCCUUCCCUGUGGUUGUUGAUCUGCCCUGGGUUUUUGCCUGCCUCUUCAGACCAGGCUGCUCUGUGUGAUCUAGUCAAAUGUUGAGCAAUCAGUACCACCAGGGCUGUGUUUUAAUGAGAAAAGCAGUUAAGUAAAUGGAAUGUCAUUAAGACAUACGACUGUUUUGGAGGUGAUGCCAGCAGUAUAACAGAAAGUUACUUUAAAAUAUUACUUGCUAUACAUUUAUUUUUAAUGCAUACGAAACUGUAGAAACAAACCACUUUAACUAGCUGAAGAAAUUGAGACUCUUUGCAUGUGCUAUUUCAAAUCCUAGUAGUAUUUCAGCCUCUUGGAGUUGUCUCUUGAUCUGUCAAAGAGGGAUCUGGACAGUUUCUCAGUGUCUCUGACUAUUAAAUCCUUAAGUGAUGUGUCUAUAUGCUUAAGGAAUGGGUCAGCUUGCAGACAGAAAAGUACCAAUGUUUAAAAAAAGGAACAGAUUGGUUACUAGCAUAUUGCCAUGAAAACCUUUGCCCUCAGCUGGCUGGGUUUGUUCCAAGAUUCAGUGUUCACUUUAACAUUAUAUGAGACAAAGUGAUGUGGCCAAAUAUUCAUAUCAUGUGCUUCAGCAGUGUUUCUUUUUCUGUUGUUUUGUGUGUGUGUGUGUGUGUGUGUGUGUGUGUGAUGCCUUGCUUUGAAACUGUUUAGCUCAGUGCAUUCAAAGUUCUUUGCUGUACCAUUUCAGUCAGGAUCUGAACAAACUUGAGCAUAACAAGAGGCAAGGAGGAAUUGUUACAGCCUUGCUAACAAAGGCAAUACUUCUUUUGGUAUGUUUUUCUGGUUUUGAAUCUGUAGUGACACUUUCCUAUUUAGAAAGAACAAAUGUCCUUUUGUUGUGAAUCCUCCACUGCAUCUGUGGCUCAUAUCAGUCACACUGUUAUUAAUAAACCAGACAAGGUUUUGAGCAAGCAGUUAUUCUAGCUAGGAGUUGUUGCCUGCUUGUCUAGGUAAAAUGAAGAUCAUCCCCUUCUCUGACAAUCAGCCUUUAGCUGCUGGCAAUUUGCAGGACCUCAUUUCUGUAAAGCACUGAUUGCCCGCUAUUAGACAGUAGGAGCUGGGACAAUCACUGAAGAAGACAUAAAGGAGAAAAUGAAGGAUUUGUCUAUAAAUAGAGGCCUCAGACCUACUUUUUUGGAAUUUGGUUUCUCUAUUUUGAAGAUACAUAAAAACGUAAUUGGGCUUUUUGGUUUUCACAGUAUGAGCACCAAUUAAAGGUUAUUUAUUUUGCUUUCAUAGCAAAUUUAUUUUUUUUUUUAAAGAGUAACACAGACAACAAGGUGGAAUCUGUUGUGAGUCAUCACUUUCACACUCAGUCAAAGUUCUCUGUUUCUCAGCUUUAUGGCAUCGUAGAUGUAAUUCAUUCUCAUAUCCUCUCCGUUUUUCCAGGAAGAUCACAACAGCUCUGCAGGGACAUUUUAGAAUCAGGCAGGCAAAACUUUUAACAGUUUGCAAACACAUAGGUCCCUUUGCUUUAUCCAUAAUCACAGUUUUUAAAGGAAGAGAGUUCUUCGCAUUUCUCAAAGCCAACCUAUCUUUUGGAAUAUAGUCCGGAAAUGUAGCAUUGGAUGAUUUUAUGUAUUAUAACAUCUACCACUAAAAAAAAAGUGUUAGUAAUAGCAGUGGUAGCCGCUGCAACAUAACAACAUACAAAAAAGUAAGGAUGAAGGAUGGAUCCCCCAUCUCAAAACAUGCAGACCUGUAGGAAUAAAGAAGUCUGAAAACAAUCUUUAAUUGCUUUUUCUUGUUCUCUCAAUUUGUUCCCUGACUUUGUGAAAAAAAAAUAAUAAAAAAAGGAGAAGCCUAUUUGUAGUAUUGCUAGAAAAAAAUCCAUCAGAAUUCUUUGCCCUUGGAAAAAAUCUUCCAGAAGAUGGUAGCUUUGACACUUCUUCAGUACUUGGGAAACUUCAGGAAAAAAUGUACAAAGAAUGUAAAUGAAUUUUCUACGUACUGAGUGUGAAUUGCCUCAAACAAUGUGAUUGACAUGCUUUGAAAGGGGGAAAAGCUGAACUUCAACUUUUGUGCUUUAGAUAAGAUGAGGUCCUGCACAAGGUAUCUCACAGCCUCUAACCCAUAUAUGUAUAUUGCUGGUAGCAAAAUGCUUGCCAUAGCUUGUUGAAAUUGGCAGACAGUUUUCUCAUUCUUACCUGAACAGAAAUUUGGUAAACUGUAAGAAAAUUAAUCAGUUAGAGGUGAUAUCCACAGAAGAAACUUAUUUAUAGAUACUCUGAUUCAUUGGACUUGUUAUGUGGGGCACAUUCAAAUCUCCUUUGCAAAGGCUGACAGUGCCUGGAGAGCCACCAAAGCCAGGCAACAGGAAAUGUUGACCAUGAAAUCCCAGCUUUCCUUGGAACCGUCUUCAUAACUCUCAACUAGCUAGGAGUGGCAUGUAAAGGAGGAAGACCAAGCAAAGCAGUGUGUGAAUGAGACUUUAAAGUAAGCUUUACUUGGAAGGAGAGUGCUAGGGAUUUGUUCCCUACUUGGCUUAGCUUAAAAUAGUGAACUGUUAAUCAGAACAGUCUGAAAUAUUCAUCUGCCCCCUCCAGGCAAGUUCCCUAACCUGAAGGCCAAUGGCUUAACAAGUAUUUAAUUACUCCACUCAAAAUGAAACAGUUUCCAGAGAAGUAUUUGGAGGCCCCUAUAAUCCCAAGAUUUCCCAAGUUACCCUCCAGAAAUUUUUUUGAGAGAGAUUUCUAAGCCAGAAUUCUGUUAGACAAAGGGAGGGGAAAUAAAACCCAACAGGUUUUCCAAGUCCUAAGGGAAUGAUCAUACUGCUGAGGUGUUGGGUAAAACAUGGAAGCAAGAACAAAAGCCAAUGUGCAAAGAACAAUCAAGAACUCCACAAGUCUUCAGAUCUAAAUUUUUCAUGGAACACAUGGCAAACUGAAAUAUGGGGACCACAGUCCCGAAGGCUCCUUUGAGACUUGUUAUGGAAUAAACUUUUGAAUAGAGAUUGUUUGAGCUCUACUUCCCUUUUUUUUUUCUUUCUUUCUUUUUCUUUUUUUCCCCCCUUCUUCUUGUUUUUUACUGUUUUCAAACUAAUUAGUAUGUUCUCUUUGUUGUUAAACAUUCAGACAAAACUUGGUUUUCUUCUCAAAACUUCAUGUGUUAUUGCAGAUGAUUGGUAUCAGAUUUGUGAAUAGGGUCAUUUCCAGAAUUCUUUUUCAUCUCUUGUGAUUAUGUAGCCUACUUUUUGACUUGUUCUCCUCAGGACUCUCCUGUUUUGCAGAGAUUCUGCAGUAUUUGGAAAAGAAAAUAGUAAAGAAAUUGAGGGUGAGAUUUCUGAGGGAGUUCUCAACAGUGAUUUACAGAAAAAGGCAGAAGCCUUGCUUUGGAAACUGCUAGUGGAAUUGCUUAUAUCCCGGAUAAUCCUGGAAAUUAUUUGUGUUAAUUGUAUUUUAAAAAUUUCUCCACAACCUGCCCACAGCCUGCCAGAGUGACAGAGACUGGAAAAGAUGAAUUCUUAGAGGAGUCUGAUUUCCAGAAGAGAUAGGCUCAGGCUUCCAUAAAAGAUCAGAGACUUCUUUAUAGGUCCCUCUCAGCUGGCCAGUGUCACAGAAUCACACAAAGGCACAUCUGUACAUGAGACCCCCACACCAAAGAACAUGACUUAGGUUGCAUAUGCUACGGGUGAAAAAAAUACUCAAGCAACAAGGCACAAGCAGGUGCACUGAGGGCUUGGAGUUAACAAUCUGUUCAUUCAUCACCCUGAUUUCUCUGACUUUUGCUGGGGCUUGAUUGCAGAGGUGGGGCAAGUUCCUUCUCUCCGGCCCUUCUUGACUGCUUUCUGUGGUUUGAAGGGAAUGUCACAAAAGUGUAUUUUGAGGAAGAGGCCGAAGAAAAUAUCACAGAAAAAUGAGAAUGGAUUAAAAUAUUGAGACCUGAGUAGAAGGACGCAGAGCAGUUUUUUCACUGGAUGCUAAAGAAACAUGAUGGAAACAAUGGAUCAGUAAUUUUAAUAUGGCCUCUAACGUCACAGUAAUUGUGUCACCGUUGCUAACCAUUGUUCAGUCUUACCACCAGCUAUUCUCUAACACACCAGGGCAGGGGAGGACUGGAAGGAGAUGUACAUUGAGUUCUUUCCAGUAUAGUUGAGGCAUGUACUGGCUGCAGAGGAUAGGGAUCACAGUAAGAAUUGGUGCCCCACUGUUUUUUGGUGAAAAGAAGAAUUUCUGAGAUUGAGAUGCCCUCCUGAAACUGGAAAGCAGCAGCAGCCCCAGGAUUACAGAAAAUAGAGAGAAAGGGCUGAGAACUGGCUGCUUUGCAAAUGCAAAGAACAUAAAAUCAGUAACUUAUUUAUACAGAGUAAGUAACUUGGCACAAAGGAAGCCUGUGACAAAACUGGAAAGUGACCAAGACAUGUCACAAAUCAUAGGACAGGGGAAAGAGAAUAGGCAGUACUGCAGGCUGCAGCGAGUUGUAUCGAGGGUUACAUCAAAUCAGUUUAGGAUGCCAGGUGGUACCUCUGCUGUGGGUGAUCAGCAAACACAUUGCUGUGUGAGAAGGCAAGGAUGUAAUACCUUUGUAUUAGUCAUUUCCAUCCUGGGUAGUUUCCUACUCAGAGCUCAGAAAUAUCAGGCAAGUUACCUCGUGCGUUCUUGUUUUUCUACAGUGUUAUAGCAAAUGAAGCAAGCUACUGUAUGUUGUGGGUACUGCGCCAAAGUUUCAGUAGCUGCUGCUUCUUCUUUUAACAUUGUUAUGUAGCAUAUUCCUGUAAAUGUUAAGUGCUACAGACUGUUGUCCAGCUGGAAAGUCACUCUUCUCAGCCAAAAUACAACAUUCAAGUUACUCAGUGGUAGCAGGAAUGAGUGUCUGUGAAUUUCAUGGCCUGGUGAGUGGGGCAUCUUGCCAGGCGCAAACAGCUUGUGAAAUAAGAACGUUAUCUGUAGGAAGUAUAAUGUAAAUUCUUUACUGUUGCUUAUGGCCUUAGUUUUCAAAAUGAAAAAGUUGUUAACACUGAACUUGGUUGUUCCUCUACUGUUUAGAGCCGUACCUAUUGCUGCUUUCAUGGUAUUAGAAGAUAGGGUAAAUAAAAUGUAAUGUUUCUGUGUAACGUUUGUUUCAGUGCAGAUUCUGAAGUUGGAGGAGGUGAGUCAACUGGGGUUUAUUUCUAAUGGUGUAAAUGUUUUCCCAAAAUCUGGAGUAGCUGAAAGAGAUCCAGAAAGUUUAAAUUAUUAACACUACUAAAUAUCAUCAAGUCAAAGAUAGACUUUCCAGAUAAAAAGGAAUGCUGGAAAAGGGAGAACAAAUUUGUUGACUACUUUAUAAAAAAUUGAAGCAGAAAAGCUAUUUUGGGUUGCCCUAACAAUUGUAGGAACCAAAUAGUCUGGAAAAUUUCAUUUCAUGUCUAACAAAGUUAGAUAAAAUGUUCCUGUAAUCCAAAAAGGUUAAAUCUCCAAGUACUGCUUUUUUAACUGACAGAAUUAAAAAUGAAGAGAUUUUCAAAUGAAAAAUUGUUUCCUAAAAAGACCCCAAAAACAUAAGAGAGAGUGAGAUGAACAAAAAAAGAAAAAGGACGUAACAAUAAUGCUAAUAGAUAGAGCAAAUUCUCAGCUACAAAAUACUAUUCUUUAGAACACUCACCACCAUUAGCUGUGCAUUUUUGCCAGCAAUGAACAAGAGCCUGUAUGCCAUGUUCGUAAAUGUCUGCAUUAGUGGAGUUUUCAUUAGGAUUUGCAAUUGAUUAUCAAGAACAAUUCUUAAAGUUACCACUUUUUAAGGGUAUGUCUUUGUAAAAAAAAAUAAUCUUGUUUACUGGAUAUGAGUUUUAAACUCAUUAAUUCCAUUUUCCUACAUAAAAUAAACUGAUUUCUCAGCUAUACUUGUAAGAAAUUAUUUUGUUUAGAAAAUAAGUCUGUAAUUUAAUUGAAACAUUGUUCCCAAAAUGAAAUAAAAAUAAAAAUAAAAAAAGGAAAAGAAAAGCAGAGGAAGAGGAUAAAGAAAAGAGAGUUUUUGCUAAAGAGGUAUUUCUAACUUUCAAUCCAAUAAUCUGACAUUUCAAAUAACUUGGAAGUAAUUUUUCUUGGGUGAGCUGAAAGAAACAAUUCCCAGUAGCAUCUCCAAGGAUGAUUUGUUUUAUUUGAAGCCUUAUUUAAUUUGCAGGGUAUUUUUUUUUCCCCUUAGUAAACUGUGUGAAUGACUCCUUGGUGAAAUGUGUUUUUCAGAAUGGUAUGGUUAAAUACAGACCAGCAAGUUCCCUUCUCAGAGCUUCACAUCUUUUCCUGCUAGUAACAAGCAGUACUUCCUUGGGUGUACAGAAUAGAAAUAAGUCUUUUGCAAUCCUUCUUGAGCAACAGAAGCCAAACUAAAAAGGCACUGAAUAUACUGACAGCACUAAAACUGCUACUACUAAUAAUAAUAGAAAGAAACCAAUCAUGCAAUAGAACCCUAAUCCUUCACCCGUCUGCCCAGAGACUGGAAAAAUAAUUGUUUUUGCAGUAAAUUUAGUAACUUCAGAUCUUUGAUAGCUAAGAAUGGAAUAAGAGAAAAUGUAUGUAUAAGGGCGCUCUCUUUUGUCAUUUUUUAGCUUCAUUUGCUUCUAACCCCUGUAGCAUGAAAAUUUAUUCCAAGAAAACCACUGUUUUCACUCUUUCCAAUUGCUACAGUAUUCCCAUACUUCUGAUAUUUUAUUUCCACUGAUGCAAGAAAGACAGAAAAGAAAGCAGGAAAAAAACAAUUACUCAUAUCAUCUAAAAUUACACAAGCAAAAAGCUAAGAGUUACACAAGAAAUGAACAUCCCGUAUUGUCCAGCAUCAGACUGUUACCUUCAGACUGUAGGGCUUAUGAGAGGGAAAAGCAAAGCUUCUUGCACUCCUUUUGAAAUACUUAGAGGAAACAGUUGAUAUGGCAUGCACUGCAAAUUCCUCAAAUCCACCAAACGCUGCCCAUACUGUCGGGCAGGCUGUGCCUCCUCUGAGGGUCUCAUCCCAGCCUUUCCCUUAGCACUGUCCUGAGUGUGAUGAGAAAGAAGUCACCUUCCCAUUGUCUUGGGUUCAGAUACAUCGUGGCAUGCUGACCUGACUUUCUUCUGGGAGGGAUUUGGUAGCUGCUGCCAUUUUGAGACUAGUUGUUCUUUAUUUCGCUUCUAAUGAAAUCAGCAUGACCCUGAUUUUAGUUAUAGUCAAAAGGCUGGCAAAUGCCUAUUGUCAGCCUCAAACAAGAAAAAAAUAAGUAAAAAAGUGUAAGUGAAUUCCCUUACCUCCAUUUUCUCUUGGAAAAAAAAGCAAAAAAAAAAAACACACAUGGAAAAUGAUACUAAAGAAGGAGGAGAGGUUUUGUAUAAACUGUAAGUACCUUAAAAAUAAGGUGGUGGAAAGUAUUUUAUCUGAAUCCUAGAUUCUGCAGUUUAGAGGGGCUCCACUUUUUCAUUUUUUUUAUUACAGAAGAUAGAAAUUUUUUUUAGUAUCUUAAGUAAAAUUGAGGUCUUGAUCAUUAAAAACACUGUCAUGAGACUCAGGUGAAGUAGAACCAGUCACAUUCACAACAAGAAACUCUUCUUCAGACCAAUGGAAACUCCCAAGUGCCCCAUUAGAGGAGAGGAGAGGAGUCCGCAUAGUCUGUGGUCUGGCUGGGGAACUGGGACGCAACUGCAUCCUGCGUUGUGACCUAUACUUAGUGGUCAGUUAGAAGCCUGCUUGGGAAGCUAGCUUAAAGAACUUCUUAACAUAACAUGCAACCUAACAAAAAGGGAAUUAAUUUAUGGAUAUAUAGAGUGAUUGAAAGAGAGCUAUACAUCUGUUUUCAGGAACCAUCCUCUUCCGAGGCAGAUUAUUAAAACUUGCUAAAUAGGGAUGCAGUUCAGCUUCAGUGGUGGAGUUGAGGAGCAGAAUGAUCUCAGAGUAGUUUCUCUGAAGAUGUUUGGUCUUCUACAGCCACUGCUGAUGUGUGGCACACUUGUUGAUACUCAGGUAGUCUUCUUGGAUGGAGACGUAUUUCAGUCCAGGAGUUUUCCUACAUGGAUUAAGGUGUAUGUUCUUGUGUAUCCACAAGUUGAAGGCAGACUUACAUUCUUCCCAAGCAGAACUGGGUGUUCUGAAAUAAUACAGCAUCACAAUAUGGGUGAAAUUAUUUCAGCUGAAAAAGAAACUUAAAUCAAGCCCCUAAGUUAAAGCUACACAGACGAAGCCAUUUUUAGUAGAGCGACCUUACUCAAAGGAAGCAGGGCUGACAACAUUUUACAAACCAGAAAUCUUUUAUUUGGAAUUUUUUCUUGGAUUGAUUUUUGUUUUGGAACUUCUCUAAACACUAUUUAACUUCAAAAAUAUUCUGACCAAGCUCUACCAUAUGACACGCUAUAAACACAGACUCUACAAGAGCUGCAUUCAUUCUUUUCUACAAGUCAGGCACUUUUAUUUAGCAGGGCAGGCUUACAGAUGUUUCGGUGUAUCUAAUGCUAGGAAGGAAAGCAUCUGAUAGUGUGAACUAUGGUAAGUUCUCAAUAGGCUUUCUGUAGGCACCAUUAGUACAUAAAGCCCUGUGUUGUCACAUGGCGUUGAGGCAUUACUGUGCUAACAGAAAGUAAACUGGUGUAUAAACUGCACAAAACAGAUAAAUCAGUGCGUGUAAUAAAUAAGUAAAUAAAUAAAUAAAAAGCAGUAACUAAUCACAGAGCAGAAUUAAAACAGAGAUCUAUUUUCCAUAAAGCCCCCAAGGAAUUUUUACAGUCUCUUCAGUAUGUGUGGUGUCAAACAGGGCAGCUCUGUUGUGGUUAGCAAACAUUAGCAUGUCCUCAUCAUAAUCCCAUCCGUGCCUGAACUAAAAGGGGCCCCAUGCCAAAAAUCUUCCAUAUAAGGCCACUGUCAACCCUGCAGAUGUGGGUUUCUUCCCUUGUGAGCUGCUCACACCAUCUUAACUUGUUCGUCAUGCAGCAGGAACAGAAAUCUGACUGUCUUUACUGUCCCAAGGUGCAAUCUCACCUCCAGAAGCUGAAGAGUGAAUGGGAAAGCUCAGUGAGCCCCCUUUUCCCUUAGAAUGCUUUCCUCAUGUGAGGACUCCUGCUGGCUGCCUGGCCUCUUUCCUAUGUGGCAUGCAUGGGAGUGCUGUCAUUCCCCCAGCCACAGAGCAGGGAUAAAUAGCUACAAAGCAUCUUCUGCCAUUGCUUAAACCAAAGCUUUUUACAGAAGCAAGUUUCUGAAAAUGAUAUUCCCCAUGGAAAACCUUACAUUUCCUCUCCCUAUAAAAUAUUUUCACAGUGAAUGCCUAUCAAUACAUUUGCUCUAUCCAUAGGCCAAAGGUAGGUGGUCUUACAUUGUUCGGUUUUGUGGUAUUACAAAGUAUUCAUCAUGAAUCCACUGUGACUACACUCAUAUUUUUAGUGGGGUGUAAAAAGUGUGACUGAGUACAGUUUUCUGCAGUCUUUAUUCCCAUCAACUAGGAAGCUUCUAAGCUAAAGCUAUUUUGAUUCUCAUCCUUCUCUCAAACCAUUUGGGCUACCUUCAUCAUACCUCUUGCCACACCACUCCCUUUUUGGGGGAAUGUAUGGUAAUCACACAAAAGAUGUUUCAGUGGCUAGUUCCUCAAUGUAGCAGAAAUGCUAAGUCAUGGCCUGAAGCAGUGAUUGAGCACCUGGUAGGAAGGCAGGGCCAAUCCAGGGGAGCUCAGCUGAAUCCAAUUCACCUAAGUGAUUGGAAGGGGGUGGAGCCAGGAUCCACCCUUUCCCAGAUCUCAUUUAAGGGUUGGUAGUGGAGGUGAGGGUAUCUUACGGGAGAUACUUGCAGAAGUAUCAGAUACUCAGAAGGUCUGAGGCCUUCUGAAGGUGAGCUGGUCGGUUGGUCGGUUGGUCG